UUAUAAGACAUAUUUUGUCUUCAAGCUGAUGACUCUCACAGUAACUACUGGCUGUUUAUCUCCUCAGCAGCUCUGCAGGAUGGAGACGCUGUGAGAACCAUUAGAGGAAUAGAAGGAACCACCAUCACAGUUGGAUGUAAAUUUAUAUUCCCUGGAAGCACAAAGUUUUUCUGUAAGGAAAUCUGUGAAGGAGAAAAUAUUCUGAUAGAAACAAUAGAAGACAGAGCUCAGAAAGGCAGAUACAGCAUCGAGUAUGAAAAGCAUCGUACUGAAUCUAUUGCUGUGUAUGUGAGCAUCUCAGAGCUGAAACGGUCAGAUUCAGGACGGUACCAAUGUGGUCUGGAUAAAUCCUGGACUCGAUAUGAUGAUUUUAACCUGGUUGUGACUGAAGCUUCAAACACUUCAGGACCAAACUGGACCCUGAAGACUUUUCCAUCAACAUUAGUGACAACAGCAGCAACAUUAACACUAAGGUUGAGUUCUUCCUCUUCUUCAUCUUCAUCUGAAACUACCCAACAGACCAGAACAUCACCUGAACCCAAAGGUCUGUUGCUUUAUGUGAUUCUGUCUCUGGUCAUCAAGAUCAUCUUGUUCUCAACACCUUUGGUGAUUUUCUGCUGGAACAG